UUCAGUUUGCAGCAGUGGGCUGUUGGGUCAGUUUGGUCUGAGUUAGUGUAAGUAUGAACAGUGAGUAGCUAGGAAGUUCCUUGUCCUUAAGGACUGUGUUGGUAAAUACAAAUUUUGAGCUUGUUGAAGCUCCCUGAACCAGCAGAAAAAUACAGGUGUGAUGUGUAAAAAGGAUAGGUGGAAAUAGCUAGAUCCAUCUUGUAAUGGAUGCUGUUCCUGUGUUUUGGGUGGACUGGUACGACUACAAGGCAAGCAAUCUGUGGCUGAAAGGUACUGGCAAGUAUCAGCGCUCUGGUCCCACUGUCUACAGCCUUAUCCAUUUGGCGCCUGCUCCAGCCCUCUCACAUUACCAGCAGUGGGGUCUGUUUUCAGCUGUGAAAAGCUGAAGGGAGGAUGGAAGGAUGGAGGAAGAGAGGAUGGAUGUCUGUUCCUUCUCACACUCACAGUAGUUCCAGGACUUGGCAGGUUGGGUGGCUACCCAGCUAGAAAAAGCUAGAUCUCAGAGCAAUGUUGCUCCAGCUCUGAACCUCUGCUGUUGUCCAUUGCCACCUGAGCCCGAGGAAGACAUUACUUGUCUCCCAGCAAUCCAGUACAGACUCCUGUGGAUCCCAGGCUGAACUUCCUCUUUUGAAGCCUUAACCCAGGCCAAAGCCAUCCACACACCACAAUGCACAGAAAUCAGCAUGUGCUUCCUUCCACUCUC